GGCUGAUUCACUGUUGUCCCAAGCAGAGGGCAGGCAGACAUCAGGAGCAUUAUCUAUUCAUCCUUCUGGAGAAAGGGAAGAACGAAACAUCCAACCUUGACUCAUGAUGUGCAUUUGAUGCUCUGGCUGCUUUGAAAGGAAACAUACUGAAUUAUGAAUUGUAUUAUUAUUUUUUUUACAAGAUCAACAAUCUUGGCCACUUACUCAACUUGACAGAACCAGCAGAAGGUGGAAGAGCCAUGCUAAAUGCAGGCUUUGCCUUUCCAGAGCAGCCUCCAUGAAAGGACAUAGAAGAAGGAAGCUUAGCUUUGCCUUCUUGCCUUCACUCUCCAGGGCAAGUGCCUUUCUCCUGUUGCUGUGGUAUUCCUUUGCUGGUAUUAGAACCAACUUCUUCAG